ensembl:misc_RNA Metazoa_SRP Metazoan signal recognition particle RNA
GCCGGGCGUGGUAGCGCACGCCUGUAAUCCCAGCACUUUGGGAGGCUGAGGUGGGCGGAUAACCUGAGGUCAGGAGUUCGGGACCAGCCUGACCAACAUGGUGAGAUCCCAUCUCUA